CACUCCCCCUCACCAAAAUCACGUUUCCCUCUCAAUUCUCCCAAAUCCCACGACCCCGCCGCGCAGUGCCGCCAAAUCGUGUUUUCCUCUCGUAUGUUUCAAUUCUCCCAAAACUCAUGUUCCUCCCCCCCCCCCUCACUCACGUUUCCCUCUCAUAGGGUUUCAAUUCUCCCUAAACUCAAGUUCCUCCCUUUCCCAAUUUUAAUUCCUCCCCCAAUCUAGUAUCCUUCCCCUCAUCCUCUUAAUUCGAGCAAGAGAUUGCUUUUCCACUGAUAGCAGGAUUUGUUGCAGCGAAACACCUUCGGCUUUUUUGAGGACAUAAUUUUGUAACUGAAAAGUUCCAGAUGAAAAAUUGAACAUCUUUUUUAACUAAGAUGGAGUAUUGGAGCUUGAUGAAGGGCUGCUGGAAACAUAUGCAAGAGGGUCGAGCUUGAGGAAGAGCGGUUGGAAAUAGAGGCAAUUGUCGAGGCCAAUGAAAUAACAAAAUUCUAUCAAGUUUGAAGGUGCCCACCUUGUAGAAAAUACAAGCCCCAAUAUGAGAAGGUUGCAGAGAUUUUUAAUGGAGCAGAUGUUGUCCACCCGAGAAUCAUAUUGCUGACCAGAGUAGAUUGCGCCCAAAAGAUAUAAGAUGCCUACUCUUGAAAGAGAUAAGCAAUGCACCUGCAACUAUGUUUGUCUCUUUUGAAUAGAUUAGGACUUUUACAAAUUUUAGUAGUAUCGUUUUUGUAGUUUCAGAAGUGUAAAAUCAUUAGAUACUUGGGGAUUUUUGUAUAUUUAAAUUUGGCAUUGUAUAUACAUUUUUUUUGCUGGAUUAUUAUUAAUAGCUUAUUAUGAA